AUUGAACGCUGGCGGCGUGCCUAACACAUGCAAGUCGAGCGGUAACAGGUGUAGCAAUACAUGCUGACGAGCGGCGGACGGGUGAGUAACGCUUGGGAAUCUGCCUGUUAGUGGGGGACAACCCGGGGAAACUCGGGCUAAUACCGCAUACGCACUACGGUGGAAAGCCGGGGACCGCAAGGCCUGGCGCUAACAGAUGAGCCCAAGUCGGAUUAGCUAGUUGGUAGGUAACGGCCACCAAGGCGACGAUCCGUAACUGGUCUGAGAGGACGACCAGUCACACCGGAACUGAGACACGGUCCGGACUCCUACGGGAGGCAGCAGUGGGGAAUAUUGGACAAUGGGCGAAAGCCUGAUCCAGCGACGCCGCGUGGGUGAAGAAGGCCUGCGGGUUGUAAAGCCCUUUCGGUGGGGAAGAAAAGCCUCGAGUUAACACCUCGGGGUCUUGACGUAACCCAUAGAAGAAGCACCGGCUAACUCUGUGCCAGCAG
rnacentral:rRNA from 1 species